rnacentral:rRNA from 1 species
UAGGGAAUAUUGGUAAUGGGCGAAAGCCUGAACCAGCAACGCCGCGUGUGCGAUGAAGGCCUUCGGGUCGUAAAGCACUUUUGACCGGGACGAGGAAGGACGGUACCGGUGGAAUAAGCCUCGGCUAACUACGUGCCAGCAGCCGCGGUAAAACGUAGGAGGCGAGCGUUAUCCGGAUUUACUGGGUGUAAAGCGCGUGCAGGCGGUUAGCCAAGUUGGGUGUGAAAGCUCCUGGCUCAACUGGGAGAGGUCGCUCAAGACUGGCUACUCCGAGGUUGGUAGGGGA